rnacentral:rRNA from 1 species
GUAGGUGGCAAGCGUCGUCCGGAAUCAUUGGGCGUAAAGCGCGCGCAGGCGGUCCUUUAAGUCUGAUGUGAAAGCCCACGGCUCAACCGUGGAGGGUCAUUGGAAACUGGGGGACUUGAGUACAGAAGAGGAAAGCGGAAUUCCAAGUGUAGCGGUGAAAUGCGUAGAGAUUUGGAGGAACACCAGUGGCGAAGGCGGCUUUCUGGUCUGUAACUGACGCUGAGGCGCGAAAGCGUGGGGAGCAAACAGGGAUUAGAUACCCUGGUAGUCCACGCCGUAAACGAUGAGUGCUAAGUGUUAGGGGGUUUCCCGCCCCUUAGUGCUGCAGCUAACGCAUUAAGCACUCCGCCUGGGGAGUACGGCCGCAAGGCUG